rnacentral:tRNA from 1 species
GUAUAGCUCUGUGGUAGAGUGCUUGCCUAGCAUGCAUGAGGCCCUGGGUUCAAUCCCCAGCACA